rnacentral:rRNA from 1 species
GACGAACGCUGGCGGCAUGCCUAACACAUGCAAGUCGAACGGAGUUGUUAUUCAGAAGUUCUUCGGGAUGGAAGGAUAAGAACUUAGUGGCGGACGGGUGAGUAACGCGUGGGUAACCUGCCCUUUUGUGGGGAACAACUUCGAGAAAUCGGAGCUAAUACCGCAUAAUAAUAGAGGAUCGCAUGAUUCUUUAAGGAAAGAUGGCCUCUGAAGAUGCUAUCGCAAAAGGAUGGACCCGCGUCUGAUUAGCUAGUUGGAAGGGUAACGGCCUACCAAGGCAACGAUCAGUAGCCGGCCUGAGAGGGUGAACGGCCACAUUGGGACUGAGACACGGCCCAAACUCCUACGGGAGGCAGCAGUGGGGAAUCUUCCGCAAUGGGCGAAAGCCUGACGGAGCAAUGCCGCGUGAGUGAAGAAGGCCCUCGGGUUGUAAAACUCUGUCCUUAUCGAAGAGAGGUAGGUAUGUGAAUAAUGUACCUAUAGGACGGUAGAUAAGGAGGAAGCCCCGGCUAACUACGUGCCAGCAGCCGCGGUAAUACGUAGGGGGCGAGCGUUGUCCGGAAUCACUGGGCGUAAAGGGCGCGUAGGCGGUUUAAUAAGUCAGUGGUGAAAACUGAGGGCUCAACCCUCAGCCUGCCACUGAUACUGUUAGACUUGAGUAUGGAAGAGGAGAAUGGAAUUCCUAGUGUAGCGGUGAAAUGCGUAGAUAUUAGGAGGAACACCAGUGGCGAAGGCGAUUCUCUGGGCCAAGACUGACGCUGAGGCGCGAAAGCGUGGGGAGCAAACAGGAUUAGAUACCCUGGUAGUCCACGCCGUAAACGAUGGAUACUAGGUGUUAGUAGUUUCGAUGCUACUAGUGCCGGAGUAAACACAAUAAGUAUCCCGCCUGGGGAGUACGGUCGCAAGACUGAAACUCAAAGGAAUUGACGGGGGCCCGCACAAGCGGUGGAGCAUGUGGUUUAAUUCGACGCAACGCGAAGAACCUUACCAAGACUUGACAUCCUCCUGACAAGAUAUGUAAUGUAUCUCUUUUCUUCGGAGACAGGAGAGACAGGUGGUGCAUGGUUGUCGUCAGCUCGUGUCGUGAGAUGUUGGGUUAAGUCCCGCAACGAGCGCAACCCUUAUUUCUAGUUGCCAGCAGUAAGAUGGGGACUCUAGAGAGACUGCCAGUGACAAACUGGAGGAAGGUGGGGAUGACGUCAAAUCAUCAUGCCCCUUAUGUCUUGGGCUACACACGUGCUACAAUGGUCAGAACAGAGGGAAGCGAAGCCGCGAGGUGGAGCAAAUCCCAGAAAACUGAUCUCAGUUCGGAUUGCAGGCUGCAACCCGCCUGCAUGAAGUCGGAAUCGCUAGUAAUCGCGGGUCAGCAUACCGCGGUGAAUACGUUCCCGGGCCU